CGCUACAAUAUUCCACAAGACAACCGAAUUUAAGAAAGAGAAACUAGCCUGGGUUGGAAUUAGGUGAGGAGAGUUUGUUGCGGAUGUUGGAAGAAGUGAGGAAUCCAUGGAGCAAGAAGAGUGCAGUGAUUACGUUAAUGAAGCACACCACUAUGGUUGCGUUCCUAAAGGAGAACCUGAGCCUCCACCAUUACUGCCCUUCCAUUUUUGCUUUGCUUUUGGGAUUACGGCAAGUGCUCCAAGAUUUUCCUUUUACCCCUAAAUUCACGGCAUCACGCUGAGUGGUGUGUAGGACCUGAGUCUAAAUGAGACCUAUCGCCACUACCUGUGGGAAAGAAACUAGCUAGCUACCAGCCAGUCACUCUUUCUAAUUAGGGUUUCAAUUCUCAAUUUCUCGUUCAGAACAAUUGUGUUUGUAAAGCCGUAAAGGUGAGAAUUAAUUUCUCAAUUUCCC
rnacentral:lncRNA from 1 species